UACGUAGGGUGCGAGCGUUGUCCGGAAUUAUUGGGCGUAAAGAGCUCGUAGGCGGUUUGUCGCGUCUGCUGUGAAAACCCGAGGCUCAACCUCGGGCCUGCAGUGGGUACGGGCAGACUAGAGUGCGGUAGGGGAGAUUGGAAUUCCUGGUGUAGCGGUGGAAUGCGCAGAUAUCAGGAGGAACACCGAUGGCGAAGGCAGGUCUCUGGGCCGAUACUGACGCUGAGGAGCGAAAGCGUGGGAGCGAACAGG
rnacentral:rRNA from 1 species